AUGGCCCUUGAUCGCCAACAUGCACAUUUCCUCUCAGAAUUCAGCAUCAGUUUGUUAUUUGGGGAGCUCUACACAAAAAUAAAGAUGAUAAUCAGCGGCCUUGGCUUAUGUUUGCACCUCUUGCUCCCAUUUCUGACCUUAGCUUCCAUCCUCCUCUUCUCCACUAGCCACAAAUACCAUGACUACAACGCAACAGAUGUGAAGUUAACUUACAUCCUAUUCUGUUGUACCUUGCCGCUGGAUUUCCUUUUGCUCUUGCUCGGUCCUGCCAUCGCAGGCUUUGGAUUCAUCAAGGUUUCCCAGUAUAGCCUCUUGUCGUUCCAUGCUCGUAAGAAGAGGCCCACUACUUUGAUGAAGCUUGCUACAGUUGUCUGUUGCAAGGACCAUGUUAACAUGCAUUGUUAUAUAAAACACGGACCAUCUGAUUCCUCAAGCACAAUUGCGGAGUUGGUCCUUGGAUAUGUGAAUGAUGGUUGGAAAGGAUAUAUCCACAACGCUGCCAGCUACAAGAUCUUCAACAACCACAGGGGCGAGUGGACACUGAAGAAGCAUCGUCUUGGCCACGCCAAACGGCUGGGGUGGAGCUUGAAGAUGGCGUUCGAUAGAAGCGUCCUUUUCUGGCACAUCGCCACGGACCUCUGCUUUCACCACCAAAGCACAACCCCUCGCGGCCAAGAGUGCGCCGUUCAAAGCAGAGUGAUAUCCAACUACAUGGCGUACCUGCUCUCCAUCCGUCCCGAGAUGCUGAUGCUUGGGACCAGGAAGGGUAUCUUCAUGGUUGCUUGUGAUGAUGUCGAGCUCAUGCUGGGCAGCGAGUUAGCAACAGAUGUAAGAGGUCUUGCGCAGGAUGAACAUGUGAGGUGGGAGGUGAUCCAGGGGGUAUGGGUGGAGAUGCUAUGCUACUCUGCCAGUAGGUGCAGGGGGUACUUGCAUGCCAAGAACAUGAAUGAAGGUCCGGAGCUGCUCUCUUAUGUCUGGAUCCUCUUGUCACUCAUGGGGAUGGAGACAUCUGCCGAUAGGUAUCAAAUGUCGGAGCCUCCUGAAACCAAGGAAGAAGAAGAGGUAGAAGGUGGAGAAGUUGGUGCUGAAGGCAGAUCCAUCCAGCACGAGAUUAACAUACAUGUCUAA
rnacentral:rRNA from 1 species